UGUGUGGUUUUCUGCAGAGUCCACUCUGCCGUCUGAAGACUCUGAGGUUGGCUGAAUGCAGGUUGUCAGGGAUCAGCUGUUCUUCUCUGGCCUCAGCUCUGAAGUCCAACUCCUCCCACCUGAAGGAGCUCGACCUGCGUUACAACCGGCUGAAGGAUCCAGAUGUGCAGCAGCUGGUUGAUCUUCAGCAGAGUCCAGACUGCAGCCUGCAGACUCUGAGGUGGAAGGAAGACUUCAAGUACGACGAUGAGGAUGACGAUCAGGAUUACUCUGAGGACGACUAUAAGGAUGACUCUGAGGACGACUGAGAGCAGAGCUUCAUCCAGAGGACCUAGCAGAAGCUCCGAGUGUCAGUGGUACAGUGUGAAGAGCUGUGAGAGUCCAGCAUCGAACCAGGGUUCCUCAGGAUGUGACAAAGAUUAAUCGCUGUGUGUCCUCCUCCUCUUCCUCCUCCUCCUCCCUGUUUGAGACAUUCCUCUUUCUAAUCAAUCUCAUCAUCUUGUGGGCUCUAAAGAACUGAUGUUGGCUGAAAAUAUAAAAUCAGUUUGUAAACUGAAGUCUGUCAGGAAAUUCCUUGUUAUCAGUCUUUUCAUGUGAUCUGUAAUCCAUUUCGCUCUGAGCUCAGUCAAUACUGAACAUUUUUCAGUAGCUUAAAUGAAAGUGAGCAGAAAGAAGAAUGAACUAAUCUUCUCUGCUCCUUCAUCUCAUGUCAUCAUAUUCUGUCAAUAUUGAAAACCAGCAGCAAACCACAGAAACCCCAGAGGAGAACCAGCAGACAACUCCCAGACAGCAGCAGAGUGAGCGGCCUGCAGCCUCUCUGGCUCUUCACACUGCUGCUUCAUAUCAGAUCCUCUUUGUGCUUCUUUGUGUUUUGAUGGUGACUCGGAUCUAAAACAUAGUGAAUGUGGUGUGUGAGUUACAUUCUUCUGAUUCUAGAUCUAGAUUGUUCCAUAACUGGACUCCUUGUACUGAACUGCAACGUUCCCUCAAUGUGGUUCAACAUUUAGGUUUGGUGAAGAGCCUGUUCCUUCAAGUUGUAGUUUCUUUCUCUUUUUUUAAAUCUGCUCUGAAUAUCUAUGGCUGAAGUGUUAUUUGUACUUUAUACAUAAUUUGCAGAAUAUUGUAAUCCACCAUGCCAUGAAAUUUCAACGAUUUUAACUAAAACAAUAUUCGUAAUUCAGGAAACUUGCUUAAAACAAUCAAUAAUUCAAGUGAUUUCAAUAGAAAGACAAAACCGCAACAUUAACCCCCUCCCCCUUUUUUUUUUCUUCUUAUUCUGCUGAAAAAGGACUGGGAAGAAGAGAACUUGUUUAAUCCCAGUCCAAAGUCCUCAUCAGUCACUUGAUGGUGAAUUUUCAAACGCUUCCUGUCAUCAAGUCAAAGACAGCGAGAACCAGAGAGUAACGGGCUCAACAGCAAGUGUUGAAUAAUGCACCUCGAUGCCCGCGUUAUUCAGGACUCGCCGCUCACAAAGGAAAUAAAUGACGUGACUAUAGCUGACGUUGGAAUCACGAGCGCCGUGUGGCCUUCCACACCUCAACAUGAGAGAACCAUAUCAUGAAGCUCCAAAUAGAGUCCCUUGAGAGAAGAGUGGAGCAAUAUCGAACUGCUCUUCAACGUUUCCGCCCCCACAGGAAGCAGUUCCCACUGGACCUAACAAUACCCCAAGCCAUACUGAGUGGUGCACCACUGCUUGUGUCCCUCUGUUUGGUCGUUACAGUCACUCGGUUCGUAUUAAUCAUUUAUUAGUGUGUGAACCACGUUAUCAAUCUUUUUGAGUGAAUACUUUUAGUAUAUUCAUACGUGUGUGCUGAAACCAAGUGAAACUAAUAUUUGUGACUCCGGAAGGGCAAACAGGUUUUUAAAGCAAUGAGAGAACGUUGUGGAAACGCUGUGGAGCUGUCAGACAGCUGUCAGGCCACUUUCUUUGGCGUCUUACCGGAACCUGUCGGGAUCAAUUGGAAAUCAGAUCGUUGUAUCUUCAUGGGACUCAAAUAAAU